rnacentral:lncRNA from 1 species
GAGAGAGAAGGCGAAUGUUCCCCCAGCUGUUUCCUGUCUACAGUGUCUGUGUUUUGUAGAUAAAUACUUUGUACUUCAGAAGCGAUGGGGAAAAUCAGCAGUCUUCCAACUCAAUUAUUUAAGAUCUGCCUCUGUGACUUCUUGAAGAUAAAGAUACACAUCAUGUCGUCUUCACAUCUCUUCUACCUGGCACUCUGCUUGCUCACCUUUACCAGCUCGGCCACAGCCGGACCAGAGACCCUUUGCGGGGCUGAGCUGGUGGACGCUCUUCAGUUCGUGUGUGGACCAAGGGGCUUUUACUUCA